GGGAUUGUAGUAUAGUGGUCAGUACUUCUCGUUGUGGUUCUUUGUUCACUCACUUUGAGUGACGAACACAACGAUCCGAGAGGACCCAGGUUCGAUUCCUGGCAAUCCCA
rnacentral:tRNA from 1 species